AAAACACUCACUCAUUCCUGAGACGCAACGUGGAGACCAAAAGAGCCAGCUCCCAGCUGUGAGCAGAUCGGGUCCAAAGAUCACGGGCUCGGCGGCAGGAACCUGGUUUGGUAUCCGGCUCCUCUGCGGACUUUGAAGUGCUUUACCGAUUCACAUGACAACUGGUAAAACGAAAACAAACACCUUUCCAGGAAUUGUGAAUUCGAGUUCCAGACCCUCUGGGAUUCCGGGAGCGCAGCUGCUAUUUAUGUUAACAGUCAUUGGUCCCAGGCUGGUGAGGUUAGAAUUUCCAAGUAUAAAAGUAAUUUAGUUUCGUUUUAAAUACAUUUUAGGGCCAAAGAAAAGUGGAACGAUUUAAAGAAAAAGAUGAAAUGAAUAAUAGGGCAAGUUGGGAGGUGGCUGUCCUGAGGUUUCAUGGGACAACAUUAAUUAACCUCAUGAAGUGCCUGCAUGGACAACGUGCCCGGUGUGGUUACAAACAAACCAAUCAGCACAGAUCCUGGGUGGAAAGCAGGGCGCAGCCACGGAGGCACAGUAGGGGUGCAGACUUGAAGGUUUUUAGGAGGUAAGCCCCGAGGGCACGAAGCUCCACGGAGAGACUGUUGACCCGCCUGGGAGUGCAGUGCAGGCAGUUGAACUGUACAUUUUUAGAUGGUCACAGCAACCUCCAAAAACCCAACUUUGCAAAGAUAUGGCAUCGUCAGAAGAAAUGGGGUGCAAUCUAAUGUUGACAGUUUAAAACACCCACUUCUGGAAGAAAUAUUACACGCCCUGGAGAAUUUCUUUGCACUUACUGACUCCCUCUCUCAACACAGGUGGAUGAGAGUGGGACACCUGCCAGUUGUUUGCAUCAGCAGACACUCAGAGUCCAUGGAAAAAAUGAGCCUAGAGGUUUUUAAACCACAACACAAGCAAAAGGCACCUGGUCCCGUUCCUCUUAAGACAGAAGAAAGAGGCGUAAAACCAGCUCCAGGUGCCACCCUUAAGAAAUGUUACAGUGCCGGAUGGGAAGAGUAAACCCUGAACAUCUCUUCUUAAUACUUUACAGACUUCAAGUGUAUUUUAUGGUGACAAAGCAUAUUGAAGACAAAUGAAACUCUACAACCCUGAAAACCAGCCUGAAUUAUUUUGAGAGACAGACAGUGGCUGCAAGGAGAAGCGUCGGGAUUUUCUGGGCUGGCCAUCUCCAGUGUCACUGACCCCGGUCUACCCCUGCAUGUUUGUUUACGGGAAAGGAGUUGAGGAGGAGGAUGUAUGGCUGAGAGCCUGAAAAUAAUCCAGGGCAGGUGGAGCGAGGAGAGGACUUUACUCCUCACACUCAUGUAGGCAUCCUGAAAAGCCACUUUUCUUUCCAAGGUGGGCACGGGCCUUGAGCUUGGAGUGGAGCCAGUUAAAGUUGUCCGCUCUGGGUCGUCAGAUGGAGAUCUUAUCUUGGGUCAUGAAUUGUGGUUUUAGGAGAAAGGCAGAAGCUAAACCCAUCUUCUGUCUGGUGGGGAGGCCCAGCAAAGGGCUCAGAAACACAGCCACAGGCCUCUUGCAGCAGCUGGAUGCACAUUUCAGGAGGUUGCCUGAAAGCAGAAUUGACUUCAGAGAGUAGGGCAGCAGAGCCCAGCCACAGAGUGGUCCCAGGAGCCAGGAAGUGCCACACAGCCCCUCGCUUAUUUUUACUCAGUAUGCCACAGAAGUCCUGACCUGUUAAAAGUGCCCUUUAAGAAUGGCUGGCCCACCCUCUCUCAGAGGGUUCAUGCUGGGGAGAGGGUUCCUGCAUGCCCGCUAAGCUCCAAAUGACAACCCAGGUGUAGAAAGGGCUUAGACUUUAGGGUUCAAACCCAUCCUAGAGUCCGGUCCAAGGCCAGUUACAGCCAAUGGGCAGUGGUAGGUGCAGCCCAGCCCAUUAGCUCAUUCUUGAGCCUCAGAGGGACAGAGCAGCACUAAUGGGUGCACAAAUGGCUAGAAUGUUCACCAACUCCUCGAGAGUGGCAUUGGACAUUUGGGCAAGGGUCUUAUGGAGGCUGAGAGUUGACUGUGGGCUCAUCACAGCUAUUUUGAGGGUCUUGACAGCCCAACUAGCAAACAAUUCUGCAGGGAUGAGAGGUCAGGGCAAAGGGAAAUGGCAUUGUCAAGUGGACAGCCAAAAAGUCCAGGAUGCCCCCAGGUCCUGGGGAACGGCGGGGGAGGAACUCAGGGACUGGAUUACCCACAGGACCUGGUGAGACCCACAGCCACGGGCUGACUUGUGUCCACUCAGAAGCGUAUGUUAAAAUCCUAACCCCCAGUACUUUGGAAUGUGACCUUAUUUGGAAAUAGAGACUUUGAAGAUGAUCAAGUUAAGAUGAAGUCAUGGGGCCGAGAGCGGUGGCUCACGCCCGUAAUCGCAGCACUUCGGGAGGCUG
rnacentral:lncRNA from 1 species